rnacentral:rRNA from 1 species
GAUGAACGCUGGCGGCGUGCCUAAUACAUGCAAGUCGAGCGAACGGACGAGAAGCUUGCUUCUCUGAUGUUAGCGGCGGACGGGUGAGUAACACGUGGAUAACCUACCUAUAAGACUGGGAUAACUUCGGGAAACCGUAGCUAAUACCGGAUAAUAUUUUGAACCGCAUGGUUCAAAAGUGAAAGACGGUCUUGCUGUCACUUAUAGAUGGAUCCGCGCUGCAUUAUCUAGUUGGUAAGGUAACGGCUUACCAAGGCAACGAUGCAUAGCCGACCUGAGAGGGUGAUCGGCCACACUGGAACUGAGACACGGUCCAGACUCCUACGGGAGGCAGCAGUAGGGAAUCUUCCGCAAUGGGCGAAAGCCUGACCGAGCAACGCCGCGUGAGUGAUGAAGGUCUUCGGAUCGUAAAACUCUGUUAUUAGGGAAGAACAUAUGUGUAAGUAACUGUGCACAUCUUGACGGUACCUAAUCAGAAAGCCACGGCUAACUACGUG